rnacentral:rRNA from 1 species
UACGUAGGGGGCAAGCGUUGUCCGGAUUUACUGGGCGUAAAGAGCGUGUAGGCGGCCAAGCAGGUCCGUUGUGAAAACUGGAGGCUUAACCUCCAGACGUCGACGGAAACCGCGUGACUAGAGUCCGGAAGAGGAGAGUGGAAUUCCUGGUGUAGCGGUGAAAUGCGCAGAUAUCAGGAAGAACACCAAUGGCGAAGGCAGCUCUCUGGGACGGUACUGACGCUGAGACGCGAAAGCGUGGGGAGCGAACAGG